UUAACCUCCGCCUGCUCCGCUGUUGAUGUCUUUGAGUCUUCGGAUUGUUCUUGGUCUGGAUCUUCCCGUGGCCACUCCUGGGAGUGCAUGACUCCGGUGGUUUGUCACAGGUUCAUUGGAACACGCAAGCCCCCUCACCACGACAAGGUGACAAUCCAUUGAGAGGGAGGACAAGAAUAGGGCUCUACAGUCACCUAUGUACCCACCACCAAGACACUACCCUUGGGAGGCCAUCACACUUGGACAAUGAGGGAUCGCCUAAGUAGAUUCUUCAGAGUCCUAGUCGUCUGUUCAUUGAACGUGAGAUCCUAGCCAGUCUUUCACCAUGAAGAUGCUUCUUCUGUUCUUUGCCGCUGCCUAUAUGGUUUUUCAAGUUCAAGCCAUCCCAGUGUAUGACAAUGUUCCAGAUACCAUUGAGCCUAAGCAGGUGGGUGAUGAAGGGACCCCCCUGGGCACAUAUACCUGCUAUAACAGGGGGGCCUUCUGCCAGCCCAGAGACUGGGCCUGUCCCCCGGGCUACGUGUUUGUGGAAUCUUUCAACAAUUGUGCAUAUCCACCUCUGUACAAGUGCUGCGUGCCUGGAAGGCAUGGAGGAGGCCUCAUACCUCAGGGAAAGAAGAAAUCACUGGAUUCAUAUAAAUAAAUAAAAAUAUUCAAAUUCAGCCAA